AUAUAUAUAUAUAUAUAUAUAUAUAUAUAUAUAUAUAUAUAUAUAUAUAUAUAUAUAUAUAUAUAUAUAUAUAAUUGUUUGUUUCUGUGUAUAAUAGACAUUGUUCAAGUUGUGUUAUGAAAGCAAUAAUGUUGGAAUUUGGAGUUUUCAGCUUGUCUGACAGCAGCCACCACCACCACCCAACUGGCUGCCUGGCACUCACGGAAGUUAGUAAUCAACAGUGACAGGUUAGUGCCAUUCAGGACUGUUUUUCUUACUGUUUUGUACUGAAAUAUUAUUUGAAGUCAGACUUGUAGUCUUACUAUUCUAAUGCCUUGAGGGGGUUGGCAAUGACUGAAGAGUCUCCAGCUAGCGAGUCUUGUUCUCCCUUCCUUCCUUCCUGCCUGCUUGAAUCAUACUCCUCAUGUAAUUUGUCUUUUUCAUUGUCAGGGAUGCCAAUUUCACACUUUUCAAGCUCCACAUAUUCUUUUAUUCCUUUCUUACAGGUAUGUAUUCUGGCUAUUUCUCAUUCAUUGCACUCUCCAGAUAUCCUGACCACCAGUCAUGUUGUCCUCUUCCAUCCAUUGCCUGUAAAAUAUUCUAUCAUAAACCUGUUGUACUGUUCAUAGCACAUUCACCUCUUUGUACAUGUUCCCUCUUCAUUCCUUUGUCAUGUUGCCCAGCCUUAACUGGCUUGUUGCAACCAAACAUUGCCUCACCAACUUCAUCUAGCUUUGCUGGACCUGACCUAGUUUAGAGUCCCUGUAUAAAGAGAGUAGCAACAACCUGAAUUUAAUACCAACUUGUUGCCACUGAGCCACCUGUGUUGUAGUGUAUUGUUCCUUGAUGCACACUUUCUACAAACUUUAGAUUACAAUAAAUUCUCAAUAAACUGUACCAUAAAUCAAUAUUGUAGAGUAACAUUUUAAACAACUUAUAAGUUUGCUAUUUCCUGUACAGUAUUUUAAUCAAAAUAAUUAUGAUGAUAAUAUAGGAAAUAAGGGAAAAAAGAGCAAAAGAUAAGACUUAGCCCAUUAUUGCAGGCAAUCAUCUAAUUCUGUUGUGGAUAUUAUUCAUUUUCAUAUUCUACAAUGCCAAUUUGCAGGUAAAGGAGGAGGAAGUAUCUCUUCAAGUGUUUAACAGUAAUUUACACCCAUAAAACUUAACCAACACAAUAAUGAUGUAGUGUAGUGGCCUUCCACCCAAGGCAACCGAGCUUAUUUUCCCACACUUUUCUUCUUUCGAGAUCUGCUGGGAACCUGGGCAUCUUAAAACCCUUAUCUGACCUAUUGCUGCAUCCAAAUGCGCAACAUCCCAACAUUAUGUAUAGAAGGAUCACUCAUCCAUCCAUCUAAAACAAUAGUCUGAUCCUAACUGAUGUGCACAGAUAGCAAUGAUAUGGUGCCCAGAUAUCACGUAAUCUUAUUUUCAAGGACCUUCCAUGUUGCUACUCUAGUAUGUAGGGACUCUUAUCUUAACCUAAUCUAGUUUAGUUUGACCUUACCAAAAGCUACCUUAACUUAUCCUUCCCAAAUGUAGCUGCUCUUGAAAGUGAGUCAUAUGCAUGAUAGCAUGUUAGGGGGCAGUGCGGAUACAGUACCGUGAAUGCUAAGCCUUCCACACACAAGGAGGCUCGGUGGCCAGCACUGCACUUGACCGCCUUCAAUUCCUCAGCUUUACAAUUAGGUGCCUCAUUCACAGCUGGGUGGACUGGGGGUGCCCUGGGCGUGAAUCAUUGACCAUUAGGACGGGAGGAGAGUGCUGUAUCCACAUAGCUGCUUAGCCUAACCUGCCCUGAAACCUCUGCCUUAGCCUAGUGUAGUAUAAUGUAGCACAACCCAACCCAUGAGACUCUACUGUCACUGCUAUACCAAUAUACUGUAUCGUCUUUCACGCAAAAAAAAUUAACUGCAAUAUUUUGCUUUUCAAUAUAAAAUGUCAUGAAUUAUAUAAAGGGGAUAAACAAAAUUUAAAUUAAGUUCAUUUAGGGAUUCUAAAUUUUCAUAAUUUUAUUUUCAGGUUAAAUGAAAUUGUUCCAUAUUUCAAAAACUACCAGAUUCACUGUUUACACUUGCAGACAUGUUUAGAUUUGCCAAAACACAGUGUAGAAUUUGUUCACUGGCUGUGAUACUGUUUACUGUUGGCAUAAUUGCUGUCAAUAUAUUUUUAAAAAAUUAUUGCUGUAACAACACUUGAGCUUGGUUAAAUUUUUAAAUCAUAUGUACAAGGAACUUUUAAAUAUAUUUAAUUUAAUCACUGUGCAUAAUUUUUAAACUUAAAAUUUUACAUAAUUGCCAUUAUUCUGUACCUUUUCUUGAAUUUUAUUCCCCUAACCGAAUAAUUUUGGGGGUACAGUCAUCAUGGUAUCCAGCCAUUCAUCUGUCUGUUCAUGGACAAUUUUAUCCUCACAAUAACUUCUACUCAGAGCAUUUCAGUAAAACUUAAUACACAGGACCCUUAAUUGGUAGACGAAUGAGUAGAUUUUGAUGUUCACCAGAUCAGAGGUUACUAGUCAGUGGGAUUGGCCUUUCCACUGAUUUCUCAAGUUAAUAUUAUUGUUGUAGAUGAAAAUGGAAUGCUAGUUUUGUUGUCUUUUACUCAAGUGACAUUGCCGAGUUACUAUACACUUUAAAUAACACCAGGUCAGUUGUUAUGUAGUCAUUGGUUUGAAUAAAUUAAGUACUUUUUGUGGUUUAUAUACAGUACAGUACUUUAAAUUCUUGUUAGACACUAAGGUUAGUCUUAAAUGUUUAUAUAUUUGUUAUUAAUACAGUUUGCUUACUCUUGUAUUGGGAUAUUUAUUGGGGUUGCAGUCAAAUAUCUUCCAGGCCUACUUGGUCCCAACCUGGGCAGUAAGAUUAGGCUUGGGAGGCCUCGUCCUAUUUAACCAGUCAUCACAUACUGACAGGACAUUGAAUAGAUUCAAACUCAGAAACAUUAUUAAAAGUAUUGUAUAGGAUUAGGUGUAGAGCUAAGGUAGAUACCUAAUGGUGACAAUGUCAUAAAGAUAAUAACAUAGCCUUUAUGUGAAUAGAAGGUAUCUGAAACUACUUAACAACCACCACUUGGCCAUUGCAGGUGGAUGAGCCCAGCUGGUUGGUUGGCUGGCAGGUGAGGGUGGGUGAUGGUGGCUCGGCUGGCUGGGUAAGAUGUAAUUAUCAAGACCUUAGUUAUCACUCACAACACCCGACACCCACCACUCUUAGACCGUAUGAUACUCCUCACAACCCAUCACUUAAAAAGUCAUACAGUCUCGUUCCAGUUCUUCCCAAGCUCUUCUGGGACUUGGUUCUGUUGGACUGUUUUCGUGUUUCCUAUUUCUGUGGUGAUAAGACUUUUGAACUUGAUUCUGUGUUUUAAUAAUAGGGUCUGUCAUUAAUGCAGUAAGACUGGUACUGAGAUUUUCUUUAUUUUGCCUAUGCAGUAUAUAUGCUGUAAGGCUAUACAUAUAUGCAUAAUCUUCAUAAAAAAAAUAUUUUGUUGGUGUACUAUUAUUGUUUUUAUUUUUAUACAGUGUUUUUUUUUUUCUUUUCUUUUUUUUAAUAGAACAGUUAAUGUUUGUUCAUUUAUGUCUCAUGCAGGCCACUCGUGUAUUUCAUUAUUUCUUGGUUACUUUUUUCUGUGCAUUGCAUGUUACUUCAUGAAUAUCUCUCAUUAUCUUUAUUUUAUAUAGUUUUCAAUGGGUAAUAUGCUAAUGAUAUCUUGUAUGUUAAUUAUUACUAUAUAUAUAGCAUUCUUAUAUAAUUUUUAGUCCAAAAAGUUUUCUUUAAGUGAUGAUGGUUAGGAUUCUAUACCGUGUGAGAUGUGGAUGAACGUCACCACAGUGAAUUGGUUGGUGACCUUGGGAUGAACUGUACAUCCGUCAAAUGUGGCGAAGAACAGUUUUCAUAGUGUAUAAUUGCCACAGGAACUCAAAUAUCAGGUAUAACGACAUAUCAGACGCUUUGACCGUUGUUGGUGAGGCACACGUGACCCCAAGUAACAAACCUUGGAACUGCUGUGCCCACGUCAAAAGAGCAAUCUACAUACGGGUGAGGAUCGAGGCGUAGGAUAUUCUCGGUUCAUCAUCUUGGCCGUCUGUUGAUGUUCAUCUUUUGUUCAUCAUUGUCACUUCUGGUGCUGUAAGUACAAUCACUGCACAAAUAAACAUAUUUGUGCAUGAUUGGCUGUGAAUAUGUACAUACUCUGUACAUAUUUAAUUCUGAUAAAAUAAAAUAAUAAAAUAAAA